rnacentral:rRNA from 1 species
CCUACGGGAGGCAGCAGUGGGGAAUAUUGGACAAUGGGGGGAACCCUGAUCCAGCGACGCCGCGUGAGUGAAGAAGUAUUUCUGUAUGUAAAGCUCUAUCAGCAGGGAAGAAAAUGACGGUACCUGACUACGAAGCCCCGGCUAACUACGUGCCAGCAGCCGCGGUCAUACGUAGGGGGCAAGCGUUAUCCGGAUUUACUGGGUGUAAAGGGAGCGUAGACGGUGCAGCAAGUCUGAUGUGAAAGGUCGGGGCCCAACCCCGGGACUGCAUUGGAAACUGUUGAACUGGAGUACAGGAGAGGUAAGCGGAAUUCCUAGUGUAGCGGUGAAAUGCGUAGAUAUUAGGAGGAACACCAGUGGCGAAGGCGGCUUACUGGACUGUAACUGACGUUGAGGCUCGAAAGCGUGGGGAGCAAACAGGAUUAGAUACCCCAGUAGUC